CCUGGGUCAGCCUCAGUCCCGGAUCGGCGUCUUCAUUAAAGCUCUCUCUGUUUGGUUUGCUUAAGGAGAAAUCAUAACAGAUCGGGUUCGAUUUCUUCUUUGUUCCUGAAAAAAAAAUACACCGACCUUUCCCUUGCCUUAUUAGGGUAACUGGAGGCGACAAAAGUCACAAAACACAAUAUUUUCUUAAGAGGGCCCCAAGCCUUCGGCAGAAACUCCCAGCAAUGAAACCUCCCUGUUUUCUGGAUUGCACAGUACUGGCUACUGUGAUGCGUGAGAGAGUUGCUGGCUACCCUAAAAAUUUGCCCCAUGCUGUUGGAAGACACUCAGGUGGCUACAGAUGUCCUGAGAGCUGAUGACAAACAAUGUAAUAGGAGAUAAUAAUGUCAAGUAAGAAGCAACCAAAAAUGGUUCCACGUUGGACUGCGAGAGCCUGGGGACAGCAUUCUCAGGAGUGGGAGUCAGAAGAUGGAGUUCCAAGGAGUGGCAGCCAAGGAGCCAGGACAAGUGUUCCAAGCAGGAGGAAUGGCCAGGGCAAAGGCUUGAUGGUGGGAAAGCAGGCUGCAAGUGUGGCCGUGGGUGGCUUCAGAGAGCUGGGUGGAACGGUUCGUGCCUCGCUAAGUAGGCCUGGCCAGGUAGGAGUUUGACCUGCAUUCCAAGUAAAAGGAUAAGUUAUUAGAGGGUUCCAACUGAGGAAAGAUGGCAUCAGACUGGCAUUUCAGGACAUCCCUCCAGCUGCUGGGCAGACAGUAGUGUCAGUUACACCUGCCCAAGCCACACUGGUCUUCUUGCAUUUUCCCAAAUCCCCCAGACAUGUUCCUACUUGAAGCCUCUUCACUCACUCUCCUCCUCCAGGAAGGCUCUUGUCUCAGAAAGCCACAUGACAUGUCCUCAUCUCCCUCAGGUCUCACUUCCAAUGUCCCUUGUGACAGAGGCCAUCCUUGGCAACACUCUAAAAAGCCGGGCACAGGGCUCCCUGCCCCUCUAGUCUACUUUAUUCAUCUGUAGCACUUAGAUAUUAUACAGGAUACACGGGUUUGUGUAUUUUUUUCUCCUCCAGUCAAAUGUAACACCACUAGUACAGAGUGCGUGCUCAACAGUUAGUCUAUAGUCUCAAUAGAUACAGAGCUCUCUGUGUACAUGGGUUCCACAUUUGUGGAUUCAACCAAACCGGU
rnacentral:lncRNA from 1 species